rnacentral:rRNA from 1 species
UACAGAGGUCUCAAGCGUUGUUCGGAAUCACUGGGCGUAAAGGGUGCGUAGGUGGCGUGGCAAGUCAGAUGUGAAAGCCCGGGGCUCAACCUCGGAAUUGUAUCCGAUACUGCCAUGCUGGAGUACUGAAGAGGUGACUAGAAUUCUCGGUGUAGCAGUGAAAUGCGUAGAUAUCGAGAGGAAUACCAAAGGCGAAGGCAGGUCACUGGGCAGUUACUGACACUGAGGCACGAAGGCCAGGGGAGCAAACCGGG